GGGGAGGAAGUGCACUGCAGGCGUGAUGAGCGCCUCCUCCAGUGGGAACUUCCUUCAGGACAUAAAUCAUUCAGUCGUCUUACAGCUACCUCAUCCUCCUGAAAAAGCAGAGGGAUUCUGAGUUCACAGAGCCAGAGGAGGUAUGAGGUCUGUACGUCCUCUGGAGAUGGUACUGGAAGUGGAGAUAAGGAAACUGAGGUUCAGAGGAGUGGAAUAAUUUACCCUGAGGUGCAUCGUUAGGAAGCGGAGCAGCAGAGAUCGGAAGGCAAUGUGGUCAGACUCCAAGCACUGCAGUUGAACUUGCCCUUGUAUAGGAUGCCUCUCACUGUGGUGCCAUCAGUGAGAAGUCCUGUGUUGCUCUGAGAGGCUGAAGGCUUGAGGUCAUGGUGGCUCUGUCCCACAGGCGCACACUGUGGGAUUUACACUGUGGAUUUACAAAGUACUUAUAUCUCCUGCACAUCAUCUCGUUAUCCUACACAGCUGGCUGAGUAGGUAUUUUUUCCCAUUUACCAGGCUGGGAAACCAGUUGUCAUGUCCCAAAGCACAUAAGUUGAAUCCUGGGAGGCAGUGUCAGUGUCAGUGUCAAUGACAACACACUGCUCCUGCCUGGGCUCAUCAUAAGUGUAGGGGCCCUCAGGUGCACCUGAAACAAACUGACCAAUGUGUUCUGAUCUCUCAGCACUUGACUCUGCAGGCUGCAGGACUUUCACACCUAGAGCAGGGACAGGCCCAGAAAAGCAUGUUCUAAGCAUGCUCCUCUGCAGGUAGGGACAGAGAAUAUGAGCUGGAAGCCCUCCCUGCUGCCUGCCUGGGCUUCUAAUAUGUUGGCUUUGCUCAUGCUCGAUGUCAACACAUGUUAGAGAAGAGAGACAUUAGGAAGCACAGGGUCUGGUCUUGACUUUGCUGCCGAUUAACUACGUGGCCUUGGGCAAGUCCUAUCACUUCUGGGAACAUUAGUUUUCUCAUGUAUAGAGAGGGGAAAUGAUAUCUACCUUGAAAAUCCCUCAGGGAUUUUUGUAAGGGUGGAAUAAUGUGAUGUAAUACAAAGGACUUCAAGAACAACAAAUCUCUCCACAUUUAUGGAAGGAUGAUUUCAGGCGGAGAAACUGAGGCCUAGAAGGAGAGCAUGGAUAGGCAACUUUAUUGAGCAUCUCCUACUAGCUCUGUACAGAUUUAUCUGUUACAACCUUCCACACAGCUCUUUGGAGAGGGAGUCUAGGAUUUUCUGUUUCUGAUCCCAGAUAAAUAGCUCUCAUUAACCCAAGAAUGAAUUUCAAGGAAGUUACGGCACUUAGAAAGUGCAAAGGGAAAUCUUGAAAGGAAAAAACGAGAAAGAACAGCCUUAGAUUCUGUGUGCAAACUCCGCUAAGUAAGUAGCUAACAAAGUUGCCCAGCUGAGACUAAAGGAACUGAAUAUUAGGUUCCAUCCACUGAAAGGGUGACAGUUUGCAGGGAGAGGUCAGUCAAGCUAACUAUUGAAACAAACACUAUUAUUCUUUAUUGUAGCAUACAGAACCCACAGUCUCUCUGACAUAUCAUUCACAAUGUCCAGAAUGCAAUUCAAAAUUACUAGACAUAGGGAGAAAUGGGGAAACUUGACCCGUAGGAAAUAAUCAAUUGUUACUGUUCUAAAGCAACUCCGUUACUAGAAUUAACUGGUCUUAUAUCUAUGCUUAAGAAU